rnacentral:rRNA from 1 species
UACGUAGGGGGCGAGCGUUGUCCGGAUUUAUUGGGCGUAAAGAGCUCGUAGGCGGCUUGGCAAGUCGGGUGUGAAACCUCCAGGCUCAACCUGGAGACGCCACUCGAUACUGCCAUGGCUAGAGUCCGGUAGGGGACCACGGAAUUCCUGGUGUAGCGGUGAAAUGCGCAGAUAUCAGGAGGAACACCGGUGGCGAAGGCGGUGGUCUGGGCCGGCACUGACGCUGAGGAGCGAAAGCAUGGGGAGCGAACAGG